UUGAUCUUCUUCGGAAGUGAUUGUUUUGUGACUGAGUGGCGGACGGGUGAGUAACGCGUGGGUAACCUGCCUCGCACAGGGGGACAGCAGCUGGAAACGGCUGCUAAUACCGCAUAAGCGCACAGCUUCGCAUGAAGCAGUGUGAAAAACUCCGGUGGUGUGAGAUGGACCCGCGACUGAUUAGGUAGUUGGUGAGGUAACGGCCCACCAAGCCGACGAUCAGUAGCCGACCUGAGAGGGUGACCGGCCACAUUGGGACUGAGACACGGCCCAAACUCCUACGGGAGGCAGCAGUGGGGAAUAUUGCACAAUGGGCGAAAGCCUGAUGCAGCGACGCCGCGUGAGCGAAGAAGUAUUUCGGUAUGUAAAGCUCUAUCAGCAGGGAAGAAAAUGACGGUACCUGACUAAGAAGCUCCGGCUAAAUACGUGCCAGCAGCCGCGGUAAUACGUAUGGAGCAAGCGUUAUCCGGAUUUACUGGGUGUAAAGGGAGCGUAGGCGGCAGGGCAAGUCUGAUGUGAAAACCCAGGGCUCAACCUUGGGACUGCAUUGGAAACUGUUCGGCUGGAGUGUCGGAGAGGCAAGCGGAAUUCCUAGUGUAGCGGUGAAAUGCGUAGAUAUUAGGAGGAACACCAGUGGCGAAGGCGGCUUGCUGGACGAUGACUGACGCUGAGGCUCGAAAGCGUGGGGAGCAAGCAGGAUUAGAUACCCUGGUAGUCCACGCCGUAAACGAUG
rnacentral:rRNA from 1 species